GCUGACGUAGCUCAGUUGGUAGAGCACAUCCUUGGUAAGGAUGAGGUCAUCGGUUCAAUCCCGAUCGUCAGCUCAA
rnacentral:tRNA from 1 species